rnacentral:rRNA from 1 species
GUAGGGGAGCAAGCGUUGUUCGGAAUUAUUGGGCGUAAAGAGCGCGUAGGCGGGCCAGGGUAAGUCUGGGUGUGAAAAUCCCACAGCUCAACUGUGGAACUGCAUUGGAAACUGCUUGGCUAGAGUGCGGGAGAGGAGAGUGGAAUUCCCAGUGUAGAGGUGAAAUUCGUAGAUAUUGGGAGGAACACCAGUGGCGAAGGCGGCUCUCUGGACCGCAACUGACGCUGAGGCGCGAAAGCUAGGGGAGCGAACGGGAUUAGAUACCCCGGUAGUCCUAGCCGUAAACGAUGGGCACUAGGUGUAGGAGGUAUCGACCCCUUCUGUGCCGUAGCUAACGCAUUAAGUGCCCCGCCUGGGGAGUACGGUCGCAAGACUA